CUUCUAUGAUGGCAAUCGGUAGUCUAAAUGUCCCAUUUCGCCUUUUGUUAUCCCUUUUUGGGGGUGACGUAAGGUGAACCAUGCAGCAAUCUCUGUGUCCCACUCCACCUCACAUUAAAUUGUGCAUUUGGACUGGUCCACAGGGAAUUUGCUCGAGCUGUUGGAUGCGGUGCAUUAUAUAUGGGCAUGAGGUCUCACGUCCUCUUUUUGCCCAAACAAAAGCUUUCGUCGCUUAGUUGCGAACGAUAGCGAUCCCCGUUUCGAGCCUCUUGGCAAGUGCGGUGAUUGCUUCGUUAAGG
rnacentral:misc_RNA from 1 species